CCUACGGGCGACAGCAGUGAGGAAUAUUGGUCAAUGGACGAGAGUCUGAACCAGCCAAGUAGCGUGAAGGAUGACUGCCCUCUGGGUUGUAAACUUCUUUUAUAUGGGAAUAAAAUGUUCCACGUGUGGGAUUUUGUAUGUACCAUAUGAAUAAGGAUCGGCUAACUCCGUGCCAGCAGCCGCGGUAAUACGGAGGAUCCGAGCGUUAUCCGGAUUUAUUGGGUUUAACGGGAGCGUAGGUGGAUUGUUAAGUCAGUUGUGAAAGUUUGCGGCUCAACCGUAAAAUUGCAGUUGAAACUGGCAGUCUGGAGUACAGUAGAGGUGGGCGGAAUUCGUGGUGUAGCGGUGAAAUGCUUAGAUAUCACGAAGAACUCCGAUUGCGAAGGCAGCUCACUGGACUGCAACUGACACUGAGGCUCGAAAGUGUGGGUAUCAAACAGGAUUAGAUACCCCGGUAGUC
rnacentral:rRNA from 1 species